rnacentral:rRNA from 1 species
AGAGUUUGAUCCUGGCUCAGGAUGAACGCUGGCGGCGUGCUUAACACAUGCAAGUCGAACGAAGCACUUUAUUUGAUUUCCUUCGGGACUGAUUAUUUUGUGACUGAGUGGCGGACGGGUGAGUAACGCGUGGGUAACCUGCCUUGUACAGGGGGAUAACAGUUGGAAACGGCUGCUAAUACCGCAUAAGCGCACGGCAUCGCAUGAUGCAGUGUGAAAAACUCCGGUGGUAUAAGAUGGACCCGCGUUGGAUUAGCUAGUUGGUGAGGUAAUGGCCCACCAAGGCGACGAUCCAUAGCCGACCUGAGAGGGUGACCGGCCACAUUGGGACUGAGACACGGCCCAAACUCCUACGGGAGGCAGCAGUGGGGAAUAUUGCACAAUGGGCGAAAGCCUGAUGCAGCGACGCCGCGUGAGCGAAGAAGUAUUUCGGUAUGUAAAGCUCUAUCAGCAGGGAAGAUAAUGACGGUACCUGACUAAGAAGCACCGGCUAAAUACGUGCCAGCAGCCGCGGUAAUACGUAUGGUGCAAGCGUUAUCCGGAUUUACUGGGUGUAAAGGGAGCGCAGGCGGUGCGGCAAGUCUGAUGUGAAAGCCCGAGGCUCAACCCCGGUACUGCAUUGGAAACUGUCGUACUAGAGUGUCGGAGGGGUAAGCGGAAUUCCUAGUGUAGCGGUGAAAUGCGUAGAUAUUAGGAGGAACACCAGUGGCGAAGGCGGCUUACUGGACGAUAACUGACGCUGAGGCUCGAAAGCGUGGGGAGCAAACAGGAGUAGGUACCCUGGUAGUCCACGCCGUAAACG